rnacentral:tRNA from 1 species
GCUGCUGUAGCUCAGUUGGUAGAGCACGUCCUUGGUAAGGACGGGGUCAUCGGUUCAAACCCGAUCAGCAGCUCCA